rnacentral:rRNA from 1 species
GGUACCCACAGAAGAAGUCCCGGCAAACUCCGUGCCAGCAGCCGCGGUAAUACGGAGGGGGCGAGCAUUGUUCGGAAUUAUUGGGCGUAAAGGGCAUGUAGGCGGUUUGGUAAGUUAAAGGUGAAAUGCCAGGGCUUAACCCUGGAGCUGCUUUUAAUACUGCCAGACUAGAGACCGGGAGAGGAUAGCGGAAUUCCUAGUGUAGAGGUGAAAUUCGUAGAUAUUAGGAGGAACACCCGUUUCGAAGGCGGCUAUCUGGUCCGGUACUGACGCUGAGGUGCGAAAGCGUGGGAGCAAACAGGUAUAGAUGCCCUGGUAGUCCACGCUGUAAACGAUGAGUGCU